rnacentral:rRNA from 1 species
UACGGGGGGAGCAAGCGUUGUUCGGAUUUACUGGGCGUAAAGGGCGCGUAGGCGGCCACCGCAAGUCAGUUGUGAAAUCUCUGGGCUUAACCCAGAACGGUCAGCUGAUACUGCGGGGCUAGAGUGCAGAAGGGGCAACUGGAAUUCUCGGUGUAGCGGUGAAAUGCGUAGAUAUCGAGAGGAACACCUGCGGCGAAGGCGGGUUGCUGGGCUGACACUGACGCUGAUGUGCGAAAGCUAGGGGAGCGAACGGG